UACGAACUGUGCGAACGUUAUUCGGAAUCACUGGGCUUACAGGGUGCGUAGGCGGCUUAGCAAGUCAGGUGUGAAAGCCCCCGGCUCAACCGGGGAACUGCGCUUGAAACUGCUGAGCUCGAGUCAGCUAGAGGUACACGGAACUUCCAGUGGAGCGGUGAAAUGUGUUGAUAUUGGCAGGAACGCCGGUGGCGAAAGCGGGACACUGGGUCUCAACUGACACUGAGGCACGAAAGCCAGGGGAGCGAACGGG
rnacentral:rRNA from 1 species